rnacentral:lncRNA from 1 species
GCAACAUAAAGAUGUUGGGUUCUCAAUAAACUUCUAGAAACAUAUAGAUGUUGCAUUCUCAAUAAACUUCCCCCAAAUACAGCAAAAUAUAGAUUUCGCCUUCUCAAUAAACUUCCCCCAAAUAUUAGUUGCAAAUUUUUAUUGCAUUUGACAAGAAUGCAAUAUAUCUUUCAUUAGGUUAUGAUAAGAAGUUAUGAUAAGAAGAUAAGAACAGUGAAAAUGUUUAGGACUGCUAUAGGCAGUUUGCUGACUGGAGGUCAAUAUUUAAGCAAAAAAAUCUUUAAGAAAGUAUCAAGUUGUUCAUCACAUAAGAAUUUGAAAGUAUCAAGUUGUUCAUCACUUAAGAAUGCAAAUAGCAACAAUCCCGAAAUGGAGACCACAGUGCCGAUGCAGUUGCAGUAUUUGAUCAUGUCGUAUUUGGCUGCUUCCAAUUGAGUCCUACAAAACAUCACCGAAAGAAAAAAAGAACUCACCCCCUUUCCAGGUUUAAAAAAAAAUUAAUCACAAUAACGAAGGCGAUAAGAACAAGCAAAUGCAUUUUUAUAAGAAUACAUUUGAAUUGAAGGGUGUAGAUCUUGACCUUAGCUCACUGCCCAUCUUUUCUGUAUCACUUUGGAGCUUUUCUGUUUCACGCAGAAGGAAAGAAAAGUUGUUCUCCUACAUGCCCCAAUAGUCCAAAUUAACCAUAAAAACAUCAUUUAACUCAUAGCCAUGUAAAAAAGAUAUAAGAAUAAACUACACAAGGUUUUACAUGCCCCAACUGUUAUAAAGGGCAGACAAAACCAAGCACCACCUCACUGCAGAAUGAGGUGACCUAUACAUGACAGUCAAGAAAACCCAAAUUGUCCUAAUGUAACACAGACAGCAUGGAGCUUUAUGCCAUGGUUCCAUAGCUUUACUUGCAUCUAAAUGCUUAAAUAGAAUAUCUUCUAAAUUAAGAAAUGAUUCCACAAAUCCAUAUUCCAUAAAGAGUCAUUCCCGAGAAAUAUCAAUUGAGAUGUGAUUUUGUUAAUGAGGCAAAAAACUCUUAUCAGAUUGAUGGCUUUGGAACACAGAUGCAUCCAUUAAUUGGUCUUCUUUUUCUUCUGAUAAAUCAUCCAUUAAUUGGUUUUCUAGACGUGGAAAAUUACACAAGCACCAAUUAUCAUGAUGGGAAGAAAAAAAAGUACAAAAUGAAAGCAGGGAGGAAGGACGUGUAAACUUAUAGAUAAUCAAAGACUUUGAGGCAAUUAUAAACACCAAUAUAGCCAAAGUUGUGCAGAAAACCCAAAGCAAAAGAGAUUUGCCUUGCUUAGAAAUCCAAGACCAUGAUUUCUUAGGUCGGAAAAAAUAAAGUAGCAUAUAAAUCAAAACAUUAUACAUAUUUUUUAAAUUUUAUACAAAUAAAAACACUAUGGGCAUCUUUAGAUGUACUCGUUAUCACUAAUAAAUCACUUUUCAAUAAAAUAUAUCCUAGGGAUGAAUCAUCUACUAUUUUGCGGUGUCCUUCAAAAAAUUAUAUGAUAAAAAUUUAUAGGAAGUUUUACAUAUAAGUAUACCCUUUUGAAAAGCUGUUUUUACUUUAUUCAAAAUAAUUUGCUGAAAAUGACUUGCUUUUAGCCAGAUAUAACUUAAUAUACUUGAAAAUCAACAAAAAAAGUUAAAUAAUU